AUCCACUAGAGUGUUCUGGAGGAAGCAUUAAUCUCUAGGAAAGAAAUAAUUGGGGGAUUUUAUUAUUGAAAUAAGCAAGCAUGUUCAUGCAUAUUUUUCCGGCUUGCAUGCCCAUGCGCCACUCUGUACAAACAGUGCUAUUGCAGCUUGUGCGCAGUAAUUAGGUUGAUGUAAUUAUGGUGAAAUAAAGACAGCCUCACUGAUAAUUUCACAGUGACUAUUAAAGACAUAUGUGCCUUCCAGUGUACAAUAAAUGAACCUGAACUGCUGUCAGGGGCUAGGAGGACAGUGUGGCCAAUGCACCUAUUGUGUCCCUGCUGCAGAAAGGAGCCUGCCGAUUGGCCACUGUCUGCAGCACAUAGCACUGGCUGGUUAUAAAGGACUUGUCUAGGGGAGAGCCUGUAGGUACUCCAUUGUCUGGUAAAGUUCAUAUGACUGCAUUCUUUUUUUUGCAAGGGGGUGGAGGGAGAGUGGGGAAGGCGGGGGUGUCAGCUCAACUGUAAAAGCUGCACAGAUUUUUUUUUUUCUUUCUCUCUCUCUCUGCCUCUCCAUAGAUCGUUUCUGUUUCAUGCCCUGUCUCAUUUUGCAUAGCUAAAAGAGAAUGCUAAUUAAGACCCCUUGUCUUAACCUGAAAAUAAUGACUCGGAUAUAAUUAGAAAUCUGCUGAGAGUUUAAAAUUCUGGGAGGGGACCAUAAACAUCAGUUACGGUGCUUAGGAGGGAAAUGAAGAAUUAUUUUCCUGUAAUCAAGAUGGAUCUGAGAACGCUGUCUGGGCUUGGUGCCAAGCGCUGGUAUUUCACAGCAGCGACCGCCUCACAGAAGGGCUGUGGGAAGCAGGAGGGAGACUCUCUUAGGGUGCCACUACUAUGGAGACACAGCUGGGCUGAACAAGAUUUGCUUCAAACGACAACAAGAGAGACAGAAAGUAUCUGGUUCAACCGCUGCCCAAGCAGGCAGGCACCAGAAGAGCUAGCAGCCAAUCCGGCCAUGCUCGAAGCCAGCUCUGCAGCUCAGCCAAUCAGUGACAUCACUGGUGAGAAACUCAUUUACAUCAUGCAGUAAUGAACUUUGUUUAACAUAGCCUCCCCUCUUUCCUGUAACCCCCCCUUCCCUGUAUUAGGUCCUUCCAUUAAUUAUUCUGCUGGCAUAAUUUAAACCGCUAUGCAAAAAUGUGGCUAUAUUCUCUCUGAUAGCGUCUACCUUCUUUUUCUCCCUCCAUGGGUGUCUGCUGUCACUGAAAGUGAUUCUGGGUGCAAUUCUGUUUUGUUUUGACCUUGCCAAAUUACCUUCUUCUAAGAAAAAAAAUCUUAGAAAAAAUUAAACAUUUAUUUUAUCUGACCCCACUGCCCCCUUAGGAACAGCAUGCUUUCGGCAAGUUGGGAUUCAGGAUUGUGUAAGGUAAUGGAGAAUAAGUGGGUACAUUGCCUUGGAAGUUGCAAUUUUCCCAAGAAAUCUGCAUCUUAGAGCUUCCUUUAACGUGUCCAGAUUUUAUGCUGCAGUGGCCAUUUUUGCAUACAGUGCUUUAUCCAAAAAUCGCUUAUGUGCAUCUGUUACAGGGAGGAAAGUUCACUCUUGUUAUAUUUUAUUCUUUACUGCUCUCAGCCAAUGUGUCAUUUUAUUAAUGAAUAGAACUGAGGUCAUUUCUGGACAAAUCUCUCUCUUCCCAUCUUAGCACAAUGCACCUGAUUUGCAUCCAUUUACCAGAAAAACAGAAUGCAAGGACCAAUUGAAAAGAAGUUAAGGGACGAGCUCACAUAUUAUUUCAGAAUAUAUCACAGCCAUUUGUUUUUCAGAAUGUGUAAUAUUUAACAUCUGCCUUAGUGUUUCUAUAAAAAUGCCUGAUCUCCAUUCCCAAUGUAAUACCUUUAGCAAAUUUAUUGUUUUGUUAUAUAACCAAAAUAGAGCAAGAUAAAUAAUAUUUAGGAAUGAGUACAUUUAAUCAGCAGAAAACCUUUGGAAACACAAUUUUGUCUUGUACAUUUAUAUUUAAUUUGUCAGAGAUAAAUUCAUUUGUUAUAUAGAUAACUUAAAAAGCCCAGAACAUGUGGCAUGUGAAGAUUUU
ensembl:lncRNA